GUGCUUGACUCAGGCAUCUGUGCAAAUAGACUUUCAUUAAUGGUGUAUGAUGACCAAGUUAAACAGAACCCUGAUAUGUAAGUCCCAUAUUCAUACGCAGGUAUUACCAUGGCUAAUGACCCUUGCUUCAGUGGUCAAGGAUAACCCAUCGAACCUCAAGGUUAGAAGUUCAACUCCCUUCCACCUCAAAUGUACACAUAAAAAAAAGGGGGAAGAUAAAUUUC